GGAAGGGGGUGGGGGAGGGGGUGGUGUAAGAAACUACUGUUAAACAUACUAACACAUUCUAAACGUCCAAAUGUUGUGUUGACUCAGUUUUGAAACGCUUAUGUAUCCUAACAACCCACCACAUUUCAGACUUUUCCUGACACGGUUAUUUUGAUAGUCAAUGAUUGGUUAUAACCCAGGAUCUGACGUCUGCCCCCAAAAAAAAAAAAAAGUCAGUAGGGUUUCUUAUUUACAGAAAUUCCUUCAUUUUGAGUUAUUACCGUAAUCUUGUUGUCAGUAGUGUUUCAUUUCUACGGUAAUUUCUUAAGUUCCUAAAAUAUUUUUUCCAAAUGUUUUUUUAUUUUUUAUUAUUAUUAUUAUGAUGGUUUUUGCUGCAGCAGCCUCAGCGCCCAUACUUCCUGCUUGACUGACAUCACAUUACACAUGUUCUGUCAUAUAUAGAAUAUUAAUAUUAUGUAAUGUAAUCAUUAUCAUAUAUUAAUAUAAUAUUAUGUAAUGUAAUCAUUAUCAUAUAUUAAUAUAAUAUUAUGUAAUGUAAUCAUUAUCAUUAAUUAAUAUAAUAUAAUAUUAUGUAAUGUAAUCAUUAUCAUAUAUUAAUAUAAUAUUAUGUAAUGUAAUCAUUAUCAUAUAUUAAUAUAAUAUUAUGUAAUGUAAUCAUUAUCAUAUAUUAAUAUAAUAUAAUAUUAUGUAAUGUAAUCAUUAUCAUAUAUUAAUAUAAUAUUAUGUAAUGUAAUCAUUAUCAUUAAUUAAUAGAAUAUAAUAUUAUGUAAUGUAAUCAUUAUCAUAUAUUAAUAUAAUAGAAUGCCAUAUAAUCUUACAACAUAAUCAUAUUUAAUAUUAUGUAAUAUGUAAAUAUUAUAUUAUGUGUGAUAAUGAUGAGGUCAGUAAACCUGGACAUUCUGCCCCUCUCACUGGGUUCCAUAGACCCUAACUCACAACACUGGGUUCCAUAGACCCUAACUCACAACACUGGGUUCCAUAGACCCUAACUCACAACACUGGGUUCCAUAGACCCUAACUCACAAUACUGGGUUCCAUAGACCCUAACUCACAACACUGGGUUCCAUAGACCCUAACUCACAACACUGGGUUCCAUAGACCCUAACUCACAACACUGGGUUCCAUAGACCCUAACUCACAACACUGGGUUCCAUAGACCCUAACUCACAACACUGGGUUCCAUAGACCCUAACUCACAACACUGGGUUCCAUAGACCCUAACUCACAAUACUUGCAUGGUUUAUUUCAAGAUACGGUGACGUUAUGUGUUCUGUGGAAAACAGAACAGGAUGUGGAUGUGGGUUUGUUCGUUGCUCAUGGGCAGUGGUGGAAAAAGAACCCACUUGUCAUACUUGAGUAAAAGAAAAGAUACCUGAAUAGAAAAUGACUCAAGUAAAAGUGAAAGUCACUCAGUAAAAUACUACUUGAGUAGAAGUCUAAAAGUAUUUGGUUUUAAAUGUACUUAAGUAUCAAAAGUAUAAAUCAUUUAAAAUGUCUUAUAUUAAGUAAACCAGAUAACACCAUUUUCUUGUUUUUUAAAAACAUUUAUGGAUAGCUAUGGGCACACUCCAACACUUAGACAUCAUUUACUAACAAAGUAUUUGUGUUUAGUGAGUCUGCCAGAUCAGAGGCCGUAGGGAUGACCAGUGAUGUCCUCUUGAUAAGUGUGUGAUUUAGACCAUUUCCUGUCCUGCUGAAGCAUUAAACAUGUAACAAGUACUUUUGGGUUUCAGGGAAAAUGUAAGAAGUAAAAAGUAUAUUUUCUUUAGGAAUGUAGUGGAGUAAAAGUAAAAGUUGUCAAAAAUAUAAAUACUAAAGUAAACUACAGAUACCCAAAAAAACUACUUAAGUAGUACUUAAAGUAUUUGUAUUUAAGUACUUUGCACCACUGCUCAUGGUAUUGCCCCAUGCAGUUCCUGGCAAGGAGUCAGUAUUUUUACAUUUGUUAUUUUUAUGAUGUCACAUCCUAUUCUGGAAGGUCAAGACCCUCAUUUUAACUAUCCACAUCACGGUAUCCCAUAAUGCCUUACCUACUGUACAAUACUGCCUGAUGAAUUCCAGUGUUGUGUUUGUGUGUGUGUGUGUGUGUGUGUGAGAGAGAGAGAGCAUUUUAAUGUCUGAACCAAUGUUUUUUUGUGUACAAAGUGUAUAUGAUUUCUCUGAGGAAUAGCAUCUACCACUGCCAAUGAUUGUAAAUAUGCUGUUGAGAUGGAGUCUAGAUGGUUGGUCUCUAUUUGUUCUGCUCUGUGAACCCUGUUAUGUUAUGUUGUUGUUGAACUGCAUUUUAGCUUUAAACAAAAAGACUGGGAUUCAUUCAAACCCACCAUAGCAAUGUUUAGGCAAUGUCUUUAUUUACAAUAUUCAUCUCGUGUACACACACUUCUAAUUCUGAAAUGUGAAAGCAUACCUGCUAGUAGUUAGCAUACCUGCUAGUAGUUAGCACACCUGCUAGUAGUUAGCAUACCUGCUAGUAGUUAGCAUACCUGCUAGUAGUUAGCAUACCUGCUAGUAGUUAGCAUACCUGCUAGUAGUUAGCAUACCUGCUAGUAGUUAGCACACCUGCUAGUAGUUAGCACACCUGCUAGUAGUUAGCAUACCUGCUAGUAGUUAGCACACCUGCUAGUAGUUAGCAUACCUGCUAGUAGUUGUAGGUUUUUAUACAGUCCCCAAGACCAAUCUGAGUUUAUUUGACCAUUUGGAGAGAGAAAAAAGCUACUGUGUAAAUAUUGCAAUGCAGGUUUUAUUGAAUUGAGCCCCAGGUAUUUUGUCCUACCAUGCUACUCAGUUCUGUUCGGUUGGUCUGUGAAGGAGAAAAUAGACCACAACCAUGAUGCCUACUCAACGUGUUGCCUUGGUGUUGUGAUGCUGUGUUUUGCUUUUGUUACUGACAUUAUUAAGUAAAGUUUGUCCGUACGUAA